rnacentral:rRNA from 1 species
CCUACGGGAGGCAGCAGUGAGGAAUAUUGGUCAAUGGUCGGGAGACUGAACCAGCCAAGCCGCGUGAGGGAUGAAGGUACAGAGUAUCGUAAACCUCUUUUGUCAGGGAACAAAGGCGGAGACGUGUCCCCGGAUGAGUGUACCUGAAGAAAAAGCAUCGGCUAACACCGUGCCAGCAGCCGCGGUAAUACGGAGGAUGCGAGCGUUAUCCGGAUUUAUUGGGUUUAAAGGGUGCGCAGGCGGUCUGUUAAGUCAGCGGUCAAAGCCCGGGGCUCAACCCCGGCCCGCCGUUGAAACUGGCAGUCGCGAGUUGGAGAGAAGUAUGCGGAAUGCGCGGUGUAGCGGUGAAAUGCAUAGAUAUCGCGCAGAACUCCGAUUGCGAAGGCAGCAUGCCGGCUCCACACUGACGCUGAGGCACGAAAGCGUGGGUAUCGAACAGGAUUAGAUACCCCGGUAGUC